rnacentral:lncRNA from 1 species
CUGACAGUCACCCCAGAAUGGCUCCUCAGUCCCCAUGUCUGUGGUUUGCAGCAGGUGCUUGGAGAAGAGCUCAGCAGCCACUGUAAUGGCAAAGCUGAAGGAAGCUCAGGAGAUAGCAGAGCCCGACUGAGUGCACGGUACCCAGAUCAGUACACACAGAAGAUCCCCCCAGGUAACAGCUACCUAGGAAGCAGCUGAGAAGACAUCAAGAGAGAAGCUCUACAGCAAAACUCUGCAACUAAAAAGCAAUGCCAGUGUGGAUGGGAGGUUCUGCAAGCUGGUGGUGUCAUAAUUUAGGACAUGAUACUGCCUAUUAAAG